rnacentral:ncRNA from 2 species
CAAAUAAAAGUGGGGAGCUGGAGAAAUCUGGCUGAGAGGAAGCUGUAUUGCUUCGACCCGUAUAACCUGAACUGGAUAAUGCCAGCGGAGGGAGAAUAUUGUCUUAAUAUU